GCGAUGUGCCUCCGUCAGUACUCCAACCACUGGGGACGGCAUGACAGAUUAAACACCAACUAUGUGCCAGGCCAGGCCCUGUGCUAGAUGCUGGGGCAGUGACAGACCCUGAGUGGAUGGGAGGCAUCAGAGGGGUAAUUACAAGGCAGGGAGACAAGCGGUGGCCAUGUUGGGGUCACCCUACCUGGCCUGGGGGGGUCAUGAUGUAAGGACACACCAGCUGCCUCAUUAGCAGAGUGACAGUGUCUGUCCCCGACUUCACAUCCAGAUGUCUGAGCUUUACAUCCUAACUCUGUGAGCUUAGGCAAAUCCCUCCCUCCUCUCUGAGCCUUAGUUUCUGCGUCUGCAAAAGGGGUUAAUUCCUUACAACAAAGUGCCAGGGUCCUUGUGGUAGCUGCCUAAGUGGUACCCGUUGUUAGCAUUGUUUAUGGUCGCUAUCAACAGGUAAGUAGGAAAAAGCUAGGGAAAGGGAAGGAUCCCACAGAACGGACUGCACAGGCCACCACAUGGAGACUUGAGAGAGAGGAGCAAACAGAGAACAUGAAGGAGCUCCAGGCUGCUGGAGAGCAAACCCUCCUGUUCCAGCCUCGGCUCUUUAAUGAAAAUUGUCAGUCAAGUAAGACUCCAUCAUCACCUUCCAGCAAAGAAGGAGUGGGGAGAUCUGAGAAUCGAUACUGAACAGCUUCAGUACUACGAUGCCAUAAUGGGGCUGUGAGCUCAGCCGAAAGCCCCCCGCCCAGUUUUUUUUGGAAGUGGUCAUAGAAUCUCUCUGGAGAAACAACAUGGAAAUGGAGACCAAAAGAGGGAAGGAGGGAUGCCACCAGAUGACACUGGGAUCCCGGAAGACGGAACACUGUGUGCAACGGGCAAAGUGUUCUCCACAGGCUCAGUACUUUACAGACGUCACCUCACGUAACCCACGCCACAACCGGGAGAAAGACAUGAUUGGCGUUGUACCCACGAGGAAACAGAGAGGGAAGGGAGCUGUCCAGGACCACAGGGUUGGUUGGUGGAGCAGGCAGGAAAGCCUCACGGAAGAGAACUUUUCAAAAGGGAUUUCAACCUCUGACCACCUGGAGACAGGCGACUGGCGCUCAUUGUAAAUGCACCGACAUGACAGGGAACAGCUGCUGGGGAGGUGGAGACGGGUGCGGGGAGAGACAGGAAACCCCAGAGGCUUGGAAAUCCAGGAGCCACAGGAAGCAGUGAGCUUUCUGCGGAGCCGGAUCCGGUGGAGCCAAUUCACCAGCAGGUCCCGGCAGCGACUCUUCUACAACAGAUUCCUGCCCGUCCCUGUGCCCCAUCGCCCCCCUGCCGUCAAUCUCCACCUCAAGGGAGCCAGACCAAGCCUUUCUGUGUGUAGCGCACAUCUCUCCUGCGUAGAGCUCACCUAGUGGCUUCCAUAGCUUUUUUUUUUUUUUUUUUUUUUUGAGACAGGGUCUUGCCCUGUCACCCAGGCUGGGGUACGGUGGCAUGAUCAUGGCUCACUGCAGCUCGCUCCUGGGCUCAAGUGAUCCUCCUGCCUCAACCUCUCAAGUAGCUGGGACUACAGUCGUGCACCACCCCACCCAGCUAAUUACUAUUUUUUGUAGACGUGGGAUCUUGCUAUGUUGCCCAGGCUGGUCUUGAACUCCUGGCCUCAAGCAACCUUCUCACUUCAGCCUCCCUAAGUGCUGGAAUUAUAGGUAUGAGCCAUCCCGCCAGUCUUCCAUGGCAUUUCUAACAAUAUCCUUGAAGGACCUCUGUGAAUCCCUUUCCCAAUGUCUAUCUGCACUGUCCCUGUCCCAGGCUGAUCCUGCUCAGACACACUGGCUUGCUUUCUGGUCCUCUCACAAGCCAACCCUGUCCCCACCCCAGGGCCUUUGCACUUAUGGUUUUGCCUCUACCUAAAUACCCUAUACCAGUGCUGUCUGAUAGAAAUAUGUAAUAAUGGGGGCCGGGCGUGGUGGCUCACGCCUGUAAUCCCAGCACUUUUGGGAGGCCGAGAUGGGCAGAUCACGAGGUCAGGAGAUCGAGACCAUCCUGGCUAACACAGUGAAACCCCCUCUCUACUAAAAAUACAAAAAAUUAGCCAGGCGUGGUGGCGUGUGCCUGUAGUCCCAGCUACUCAGGAGGCUGAGGCAGGAGAAUGGCGUGAACCCGGGAGGCGGAGCUUACAGUGAGGCGGAGCUUACAGUGAGCUGAGAUCACACGCCACUGCACUCCAGCCUGGGUGACAGAACGAGACUCCAUCUCAAAAAAAAAAAAAAAAAAAAAAGUAAUAAUGGGAGCCUCAUAUGUAAUUGUACAUUUUCUAGCAGUAAGAGGAAAUUAAAUUUAAUAAUAUAUUUUAUUUCACCCAAUAGAUCCAAAAUAGUAUCA